GGUGACCGGGGGCUGGGAGUGGGGACGGGGCAGCUGGCAAAGGAGACCGAGGGGCAUGACAGGGAGGGAAGAGGGCACUGAGCAGCACAGGAACCGCCACACAAUCCCGGGUGGUGCAGUGGAGGCGAGUGGAGCGCUGGACAAAGCCUGACCUGUCUGGUGGUCAGGGAAGGCUCCCCAGAGCGGGGCCCUCCCAGCCGGGACCAGAAGUUCCGCAGGACCAGACCAUUCUGGGCAGACAACACCAUCUGUGGCCCUCAGACUCCAGCCUCCUCCUCCCCUCCCCACCUCCACGUGGCUGACCAGGACCCCCGCCACCCACCUCCAUGUCACUGCUGCCGCUCCCUCCCACCCACACCCACGUGGUCAGGAUGGGCAUCAGGAGCAGGCGGAUCCAGCAACUAGCUGUUAUGAGAGGAAACUUCUACACACACGUGUCCAGUCGCCACAGGCCCACGGAGGGCUGCAUCCCCGCCUGCUGCUGACAAUCACCGGGCCCGUGGGUGGGCCUGCCACACCACACAGCAAUGGUGGUGGGACUCCCGCGAUUACCACCCCGUAAGACUUGAGGCGGCCCACCGGCGCUGCAGCCCUCCUGCUCUGCAUGACGAGCGUUGUGAGAAGCUGCACAGUGAGGCCUGCGGGGCUGCAGCGACAGCCAGCAGAAACCGGGGCCUCCCCCGCAGCCGCAGGAACUGAGCUCCACCCCGAAUCCUGGCUGAACGAGCUGGUGGAGACCGGGUUCCAGGAGACGCGGCCGGGACGCUGAACUGCGCUGGGCCUGGGCUGCUGAGCGCAGAGCUGAUACUAACAGGUGUGGUUUAGGCCGCCAGGUCGUCCUUCGUUACACAGACGCAGAAACCUAACACAGCUGCCAAGGAAGAGUCCGCGGUCCACGAGCUGGAAACAUCACAAAGCCGGUCACAGCGCGGUGAAAAUCACCGACCACUGACGACGUCAGGACACAGGCCGGAAAGAGCGCCACGCGGAGGAUGCUCCUCAAUUUAAACAGCUCUCGGAUGAGUUGGGAAUGCAGUUGAAAAAGAGGCCCUGACAACCGAAUGCCCUGCCUGAUGAAAGUAGAAACGUAUCUGUAGCCACCCAAGACCAGGAUGAGUCGCCCGCCACGCAGGAGUGCGCGGGCCGUCCCUUCUCCACGGCCCCCGCUGGCCUCCACUGGGGACCUCUUUCCUCGCUCACUUCACGACAUGACAGUGUUUUGUUGCUGAGGAAAAGCCGUCCUCUGUCAGCCGAGGGGAUCAUGACAAUCUUGAUCUUUCCACUCAUUCUGGUGAGGAUGUUCAGAACACCCAGCGACAAAGGAGCAAGAGGAGAGUGUGGUCCCCACGGGGGCCCCCAAGCUGGCCGCAGAGCAGAGCAGAG
rnacentral:lncRNA from 1 species